rnacentral:rRNA from 1 species
UGAAUUGUAGUCUCGAGAUGGAUUGCCAACGAAGGCGCAGAUGUAAGCCUCUUGGAAAAGAGCAUCAAUGAGGGUGAGAGUCCUGUUUGUCAUUUGCAGUCUUUCGUGCACGGCAUACCUUCUGAGAGUCACGUUCCUUGGGAUUGGAGCGCAAAAUGGGUGGUAAAUUUCAUCUAAAGCUAAACAGUGGCUCGAGACCGAUAGCAAACAAGUACCAUGAGGGAAAGAUGAAAAGGACUUUGAAAAGAGAGUUAAAAGUGUUUGAAAUUGCUGUCAGGGAAGCGAAUGGAACCAUUGCACUUUGGCAAGAUUGCUUCGCGCUACAGUGAUGGCUUGCUUCUCUAACGCAAGUGUCGCGGCAAGCAUUGAUCUGGAUGCGCGCGGUGGUUCUUGGCGAACACGUCAACGUCGGCUCGUCGUUGAGGAGAACCCCAAAAACAUGGUAAAUUGCUCCCGGGUGAUUGAAUGUCUUUGGCAGAACUAAGUGUCGAGCUGAUUUUGGGCAUGUCCUGUUACACUGUCUCCUUCGACUCUUUCUUGCAUGCAGCUCAACGCUCUGUGCACAUGAGUUGGUUGAUGGAGCAUGUCCCUGACACAACAACGAUGACAAAGUGGUUUUACUCGACCCGUCUUGAAACACGGACCAAGGAGUCUAACACAUGUGCAAGUGCACGGGUGGGGAAACCUGCACGCGCAAUGAAAGUGACUGCUGGGAAGUCUGCACCAGCAACCGACCAAUCAAUUGUGAAAGGUUUGAGUAUGAGCAUAUCUGUUAGGACCCGAAAGAUGGUGAACUAUGCCUGAGAAGGGCGAAGUCAGGGGAAACUCUGAUGGAGGCUCGUAGCGAUACUGACGUGCAAAUCGUUCGUCAUACUUGGGUAUAGGGGCGAAAGACUAAUCGAACCAUCUAUA